rnacentral:rRNA from 1 species
UACGAAGGGGGCUAGCGUUGCUCGGAAUCACUGGGCGUAAAGGGUGCGUAGGCGGGUCUUUAAGUCAGGGUGAAAUCCUGGAGCUCAACUCCAGAACUGCCUUUGAUACUGAAGAUCUUGAGUCCGGGAGAGGUGAGUGGAACUGCGAGUGUAGAGGUGAAAUUCGUAGAUAUUCGCAAGAACACCAGUGGCGAAGGCGGCUCACUGGCCCGGUACUGACGCUGAGGUGCGAAAGCGUGGGGA